GGGGCAGUGGUCCAACUUGGUCAAGACUCGCGACUUGGGAUCGCGCGAUGACAGUUCAAAUCUGUCCUGCCCCA
rnacentral:tRNA from 1 species